rnacentral:rRNA from 1 species
CAGCCGCCACGGGAAUACGUAGGUGGCAAGCGUUGUCCGGAAUUAUUGGGCGUAAAGCGCGCGCAGGCGGAUCGGUCAGUCUGUCUUAAAAGUUCGGGGCUUAACCCCGUGAUGGGAUGGAAACUGCCAAUCUAGAGUAUCGGAGAGGAAAGUGGAAUUCCUAGUGUAGCGGUGAAAUGCGUAGAUAUUAGGAAGAAUACCAGUGGCGAAGGCGACUUUCUGGACGAAAACUGACACUGAGGCGCGAAAGCGUGGGGAGCAAACAGGACUAGAUACCCCUGUAGUCCCUGUCUCUUAUACA